UGAAAAUUAGUGUAAUUAUUGGAGGGAAACUAAAUUGAUGCAAUAUGUUAUGUACAGCGGCACUUUGUGGAUUGAGCCUAGGACUUAUUAGUGUUGGUGUGCAAGCAGUCAGAUGAUGUCCAUUUGACUGCAGGUACACCUGACUUAGAGGAGGACCCCGUAGCUGCGUAUUUGGGAUAUUACGAUUGAAGCACACCGCGACAGUCGUAUUGAGUUGGACUAUGGAGUUCACUCUUUUGGGGUAUUUUGUAUAUGGCUAGUGACGUAGGUGUCACAUAUUCUUUUGUGUAGCCAUUCUUUUGUAUUAGUGGAAUUGUAGCCUUAAACAGUUAGACAGAUAUAUGGCUCUUUUGUAUGGACCACAUGUAUAUUUAGAUGUGCUUUCCGUUAUGAGAUGUAACGUUAUGAUUA